AGAGGUUGAUCAUGGCUCAGAACGAACGCUGGCGGCGUGCUUAAUACAUGCAAGUCGAACGUGAGUCGAGCAAUGGGACUGAAAGUGGCGAACGGGUGAGUAACACGUAAGUAAUCUGCCUUUAAGAUUGGGAUAACCCUGCCAACGCGGGGCUAAUACCGGAUGUGGCCUUUUAACGCAUGUUGAGAGGAUUAAAGGAGUAGCUUAGAGAUGAACUUGCGGCCCAUUAGUUAGUUGGUCGGGUAACGGCCCACCAAGGCGAUGAUGGGUAGCCGGCCUGAGAGGGUGUACGGCCACAUUGGGACUGAGAUACGGCCCAGACUCCUACGGGAGGCAGCAGUAGGGAAUUUUGCGCAAUGGACGAAAGUCUGACGCAGCAACGCCGCGUGAAGGAUGAAGGCCCUCGGGUUGUAAACUCCUGUUGGAUGGGAAAAAAUCGUGGUACCAUUCGAGUAAGCACCGGCUAACUACGUGCCAGCAGCCGCGGUAAUACGUAGGGUGCAAGCGUUGUUCGGAAUCACUGGGCGUAAAGAGAGCGUAGGCGGGAUUGUAAGUUAGGAGUUUAAUGCAUGGGCUCAACCCAUGAUCUGCUUUUAAUACUGCAGUUCUUGAGUAUGGGAGAGGGCGAUGGAAUUCCAGGUGUAGCGGUGGAAUGCGUAGAUAUCUGGAAGAACACCAGUAGCGAAGGCGGUCGCCUGGCCUAAUACUGACGCUGAGGCUCGAAAGCUAGGGGAGCAAACAGGAUUAGAUACCCUGGUAGUCCCAGCCGUAAACGAUGAACACUAGUUGCUGGGGAGUCAAUUUUCAGUGACGAAGCUAACGCAUUAAGUGUUCCGCCUGGGAAGUACGCUCGCAAGANUGAA
rnacentral:rRNA from 1 species